AUCUGUUUUGUUUUUACGUCACUAUACAUUGAGAUAACAGUGCAGGAUCUGGUGCAUAGUAGGUAUGCAAUACAUAGUAGGUAAACCAAAAAUGAAUGGAGGAUGCCAAAACUGGCCUCCAGUCCCUGGAUCCAAGAGGGAAGAUGGCUGAAACUGGCUCAAGAAUCUUUCAUCAGAGGUCACCACCAGCGCACCAUGAAGUCUGAUCCACUGACACCAACAUCCCCUUGAAAUCAGGCUCCCUUCCUCCGUUCUUUCAUUGCUAUCAUUCAGAGUUACCACUUUCUUUUAAUCACCAUGAAGAGGGAUCCCACGUCCUUUACCAGGCCAUGAACAAAAGGAAGCAGGCUGGUUUUGGCCUGCAGGGUAUAGUUCCUUGACCUCGGCUUCAUCCAAACACUCUAAUUUCAUCUCGUAUUUGUAUCCUUGGAGUGCCCAAUGCCAGCAAUACAGCCUACCCCUGGAAGAUGCCCAGUAUUGACCAUUUGAAUUUGAUAAAAG
rnacentral:lncRNA from 10 species